rnacentral:rRNA from 1 species
UGAGUAACCUGCCCUUCACUCUGGGAUAACUCCGGGAAACCGGGGCUAAUACUGGAUAUGACUCGAACAGGCAUCUGUUUCGGGUGGAAAGAUUUAUUGGUGGAGGAUGGACUCGCGGCCUAUCAGCUUGUUGGUGAGGUAACGGCUCACCAAGGCAACGAUGCGUAGCCGACCUGAGAGGGUNAUCGGCCACAUUGGAACUGAGACACGGUCCAGACUCCGUACGGGAGGNA